rnacentral:rRNA from 1 species
ACUGCGAAUGGCUCAUUAUAUAAGUUAUCGUUUAUUUGAUAGUACCUUACUACUUGGAUAACCGUGGUAAUUCUAGAGCUAAUACAUGCUAAAAAUCCCGACUUCGGAAGGGAUGUAUUUAUUAGAUUAAAAACCAAUGCCCUUCGGGGCUCACUGGUGAUUCAUGAUAACUCCUCGAAUCGCAUGGCCUUGUGCCGGCGAUGGUUCAUUCAAAUUUCUUCCCUAUCAACUUUCGAUGUUUGGGUAUUGGCCAAACAUGGUUGCAACGGGUAACGGAGGGUUAGGGCUCGACCCCGGAGAAGGAGCCUGAGAAACGGCUACUACAUCCAAGGAAGGCAGCAGGCGCGCAAAUUACCCAAUCCCGACACGGGGAGGUAGUGACAAUAAAUACUGAUACAGGGCUCUUUUGGGUCUUGUAAUUGGAAUGAGUACAAUUUAAAUCCCUUAACGAGGAACAAUUGGAGGGCAAGUCUGGUGCUG